UACGUAGGGGGCGAGCGUUGUCCGGAAUCAUUGGGCGUAAAGCGCGUGUAGGCGGCCCGGUAAGUCCGCUGUGAAAGUCCAGGGCUCAACCCUGGGAUGCCGGUGGAUACUGUCGGGCUAGAGGCCGGAAGAGGAGUGUGGAAUUCCUGGUGUAGCGGUGAAAUGCGCAGAUAUCAGGAGGAACACCUAUGGCGAAGGCAGCUCUCUGGGACGGUACUGACGCUGAGACGCGAAAGCGUGGGGAGCGAACAGG
rnacentral:rRNA from 1 species